rnacentral:lncRNA from 1 species
CCAUUUUCUCAUUUACUUCAAUUCAUGUAAAAAUGCAACUGGGUCAAGUUGAAGAUUUUGUAGCACAAAAUCAGAUCUAAUACUAAGUAGCUAGUAAAAGAUGGAAUAUUUAAUUAGCUAGUAAAAGAUGGAAUAUUUAAUUGAAUUAGAAAGUGGGUGUGGAAGAGAAAGAGGAGUGAAAAAGAGAAUGAAUGAAGUGAGGGAGUGAAAGUGAUUGUGGAAGAAGAUGAAACAGAGACAGGACUGAGGUAAAGGAAGUUAAAAUAUGUUUUUUGGCUGAUUUGAUGAUUGGAUUUGUGUUGUUUGGUUUGGUGUGGCUUGGAUGGGAUUUGAGAGUUCAUAAGAGUAUGUUUUCUUU